rnacentral:ncRNA from 2 species
AAUCCCAAUAAACUCUUACUUCAUAUAAUUUCGAUAAUAAGGUUCGAAAGUCUCUACCUAAUCACCGUAAAUGAUUGGACUAUGAAGGCAGUUAGUAUUAUA